rnacentral:rRNA from 1 species
GAUGAACGCUGGCGGCGUGCCUAAUACAUGCAAGUCGAGCGAACGGACGAGAAGCUUGCUUCUCUGAUGUUAGCGGCGGACGGGUGAGUAACACGUGGAUAACCUACCUAUAAGACUGGGAUAACUUCGGGAAACCGGAGCUAAUACCGGAUAAUAUUUUGAACCGCAUGGUUCAAAAGUAAAAGACGGUCUUGCUGUCACUUAUAGAUGGAUCCGCGCUGCAUUAGCUAGUUGGUAAGGUAACGGCUUACCAAGGCAACGAUGCAUAGCCGACCUGAGAGAGUGAUCGGCCAUACUGGAACUGAGACACGGUCCAGACUCCUACGGGAGGCAGCAGUAGGGAAUCGUCCGCAAUGGGCGAAAGCCUGACGGAGCAACGCCGCGUGAGUGAUGAAGGUCUUCGGAUCGUAAAACUCUGUUAUUAGGGAAGAACAUAUGUGUAAGUAACUGUGCACAUCUUGACGGUACCUAAUCAGAAAGCCACGGCUAACUACGUG